GGGGGGGGGGGGGGGGGGGGGUGGGGGGGGGGGGGGGAGCGGGGGGGCGCUGCGUGGGUGGGGUGCUGGAGUGGCGGGCGGGGGAGUAACACGUGAGUAACCUGCCCUUGGCUGUGGGAUGACUUCAGGAAGCUGGGGCUAAUACCGGAUAGGAGCUCCUGCUGCCUGGUGGGGGUUGGAAAGUUUCGGCGGUUGGGGAUGGACUCGCGGCGUAUCAGCUUGGUGGUGGGGUAGUGGCCUACCAAGGCUUUGACGGGUAGCCGGCCUGAGCGGGUGACCGGCCAAAUUGGGACUGAGAUACGGCCCAGACUCCUACGGGAGGCAGCAGGGGGGAAUAUUGCACAAUGGGCGGAAGCCUGAUGAAGUAACGCCGCGUGCGGGAUGACGGCCUUCGGGUUUUAAACCGCUUUCGCCUGUGACGAAGCGUGAGUGACGGUAAUGGGUAAAGCAGCACCGGCUAACUACGUG
rnacentral:rRNA from 1 species